UCCUCCCCACACCGUUUCAGUCUGUCGACCCACCUUUUCUCUCUGCAUGCUUCCCCACCGUGUGAGACUGUAAAUUGUUUCUCCAAAUAGUUUACCCAAAACACCGCCAUCACUGAUUCAUCCAAAUCCAUUAAUUCGCAGAAUCGCGCCGCAUAACCAGUCAACAAAGCAGAGCUCUCUUCGUCCACGGCAACCCAUCGGUCCACCUCAACGCCGCGUGUGCAACAACUAGCACAAUCCCAACCAGCAGCGGCACCCAAACAUUCACCGUCGCCUGUAAAGAACAGCGGUAGAAUCCAUUUUGCUAAAGAAGAUGAGCAAGCUGUUGUUUGGUUUUGGCCGGAGAAAGGGAAGCCACAUGAAUGCCCAGUCCAGUUUUCCAACAUAAUACACUCUGAAUCGGAAGGAGAAGAAGAAACAGUUACAGUGUGUCAAAGUUUGUUACUUUUUUGGUGGCCUAAGUUGGGGCAUAAGUUUUCCGAUGCUUUGAGUGUUUGUGCUCCUUUUUCUUAAUCUUCAUAACAAUCAUUCUGAUCUCUUCUUAUCUCUGUGCAGACGUUUUCCAAAGUUGUUAGAAGUUGGGCAUCAAAAAAGUUCAUGACAGGAUGUUAUGGUCUUGCGGUUUGACGUUGCUGAGCCUGAGCUAAGUUAUUGACAGCCCACCUCGCCCCGCGAAUCGCCCAACUUGCAAGGCAGGAAGUUUACCACGUGAUCUCAACCUCCUCAUCAUCGGCAGCAGCAGCGGCGACCACCAGUGUUCUGAGUGAUCAUUGAGCUGUGAUAGGUUGGUGUUGGAUUCUGUAAAACAGUUUUACUUUGGAUGUUUUUUUGGUAGCAUAAGGCCUCGAUAACGAGCAACUCUCUCUCUGGUGCCUUUCCUUCUUUGGCCAACCUCUCUUCCCUCCAAGAAGUCUACCUCGACACUAACAACUUCACCUCCAUUCCGGCCGGCUGCUUCACGGGCCUCUCGAGCUUGCAGAUUUUUAGCAUGAGCCAGAACGUCAAUCUCGACUCUUGGGUUUUCCCCUCAGAGCUCACUGAAGCUUCCAGCUUGGUCACUUUCGCUGCAGUUUUAAAAAGAAGUUUCAAAGUGUUUCUGAAUGCAGGACAAGAGAAGAAUGUGAUGGGCCCCAAGAACAGUGAAGUAAGAAAGGUGCAAAUUGAUGAUGGGAGCAAUUUAUUUACUCUCUGAUUUGUACUUGGAAAGCUGCCGUUUUAGUUGUACAUCAUCUCUUGAUGCAAAUUCAAUAGAACAUACAUGCAAAGUAAAGACUUAUUUCUACCAUUUGGGCAAUGUUCUUAAAAACGGCCAAAGCGCUAGGCGGUGGUGGCCCGAGGUGUUUUCUUGCAAAUUUGUUGGAAAAAUCGGCUGGGCUGGGCUCUAGGCGGUGCCUAUGCGGUUUUUAUUUUUGAAAUAAAUAAAAAACCCUAUCUACAUUACUAUAUUUUCAUAUUUUCCUCCUAUUUUGCAUUUUAUGUGGUUUUAAAUUGUGAAUUUAUUGUACAUGUGUCAUCCUAUAAUACUCUUCACUAUGAUUAUGUGGCAU